rnacentral:tRNA from 1 species
GGGUCUUUAGCUCAGCUGGUCAGAGCAUCUGUCUUACACACAGAGGGUCGCAGGUUCGAAUCCUGCAGGGCCUAC